rnacentral:rRNA from 1 species
UGGGGAAUAUUGGACAAUGGGGGCAACCCUGAUCCAGCGAUGCCGCGUGGGUGAAGAAGGCCUUCGGGUUGUAAAGCCCUUUAGGUUGGGAAGAAGUGGAUUGUCGGAUAAUGAUAGUUCAUUGACGGUACCGACAGAAUAAGCACCGGCAAACUCUGUGCCAGCAGCCGCGGUAAUACAGAGGGUGCGAGCGUUAAUCGGAAUUACUGGGCGUAAAGGGCGCGUAGGCGGUGAGGAGGGUGUGAUGUGAAAGCCCUGGGCUUAGCCUGGGAAGUGCAUCGCAAACUACCUGACUGGAGUAUAAGAGAGGGUGGCGGAAUUUCCGGUGUAGCGGUGAAAUGCGUAGAGAUCGGAAGGAACGUCAAUGGCGAAGGCAGCCACCUGGCUUAAUACUGACGCUGAGGCGCGAAAGCGUGGGGAGCGAACAGG